rnacentral:rRNA from 1 species
UACGGGGGGUGCAAACGUUGCUCGGAAUUAUUGGGCGUAAAGCGCACGUAGGCGGUCCUGUAAGUCGGACGUGAAAGCCCCCGGCUCAACUGGGGAGGGUCAUUCGAUACUGAUCGACUCGAAGGCAGGAGAGGGUAGUGGAAUUCCCGGUGUAGUGGUGAAAUGCGUAGAUAUCGGGAGGAACACCAGUGGCGAAGGCGACUACCUGGCCUGUUCUUGACGCUGAGGCGCGAAAGCUAGGGGAGCAAACGGGG